AACGAACGCUGGCGGCAGGCCUAACACAUGCAAGUCGAGCGCCCUUUCGGGGGAGCGGCGGACGGGUGAGUAACGCGUGGGAAUAUGCCCUUCUCUACGGAAUAGCCUCGGGAAACUGAGAGUAAUACCGUAUACGCCCUUUGGGGGAAAGAUUUAUCGGGGAAGGAUUAGCCCGCGUUGGAUUAGGUAGUUGGUGGGGUAAUGGCCUACCAAGCCGUCGAUCCAUAGCUGGUUUGAGAGGAUGAUCAGCCACACUGGGACUGAGACACGGCCCAGACUCCUACGGGAGGCAGCAGUGGGGAAUCUUAGACAAUGGGGGCAACCCUGAUCUAGCCAUGCCGCGUGAGUGAUGAAGGCCUUAGGGUUGUAAAGCUCUUUCAGCUGGGAAGAUAAUGACGGUACCAGCAGAAGAAGCCCCGGCUAACUCCGUG
rnacentral:rRNA from 1 species